ensembl:lincRNA
AUGCCUCUCAGCGUGUACAUGCCUGCUCAGCGUGUCCGACUCUUUGCAACCCCACAGACUACAGCCUGCCAGGCUCCUCUGUCCAUGGAAUUUUCCAAGCAAGGAAUACUGGAGUGGGUUGCCAUUUCCUACUCCCAGGAAUCUUCCCGACCCAGGGAUCAAACCCAAGUCUCUUGCGGCAUCUGCACUGGCAGGUGGAUGCUUUACCACUGUGCCACCUUGGAGUUAAUACACUCAAAAGAAAGUGGAGUCACAGAUGGUGACAAGCACUUUACAAUAUAUGUGAUCGGAAGAGGGCAGCCACAUGGAUCUUUCCCUCCUCUCCCUUCCCUUCUGGUUAAACGCGAAAAGCAGCCGAGUGCUCAGGGAAGAGCCCAGGCCGACGCAGUCGGGGGUCCUGGCUGGGUGCUGGCUGUUCUCGGCGGCGGCGUUUCCCCGGCGCUGGCCGCAGCCCCGGCGGGCCCCUGUCUGGGUGCUUGCCUUCCCCAGAUUCCACACAUUUCAGCGAACCUCGUAAACACAAUGAACCCGGCCGCUCCGCAGACCAGCAUCGCGAAUUUAAGGUGGCAAUUUGUUUACAACUUCCCUUUCCCCGCACACUGAGAAGAAGUGGCUCAAAAAUUGGAAAAGAAGAGGGGAGAUGCCCUCUUCCGAGGAUAAUUUUUAAGGGAGCAGAGAUUUCAUGCUCAACAAAAGCAAAACCGGCUGCCAAAAAAGGAAACCACCUUUAUUUUGGCUCCCUCCUCCCCCUCUCCUCUCUCCGCCUCUCUCCACUCCGCCUCCCCCUCCCAGAUGGUGGCAGUAUUACAGGGGUUCAGGCUGCAAAUAGGGGCAGGGGCGCAGGAGGAGGGGGCUUAGGGGCAUCGGGCAGUGCCGCGCUGUGGCGGCUCUUGAGGUGGUCCACUGUGGACCGCUUUCCAGUGCUCCGGAAAAGGCACGCUGGGGAGGGCGCGUACGUACACACACACACACACACACACACACACACACACACACACACAAUCUCCACCCCCUGCAGACCUCCGACAGCCCUUUCCUCCCAGGACCGGAGGGAGGGUUUGAAUUUUUCAAUCCCCACUUGUCUUUUUCCCCCCUUGGAGGUGUGUGUGUGUGUGUGUGUGUGUGUGUGUGUGUGUGUGUGUGUGUGUGUGUGUGUGUGGGGGGGGGGGGGCCGGACGAUUCCAAAGAGGAAGAGGAGGGAAGAGAGAGUGGGAGGAGAGGAGAGACUGAAAUGCACCUUGGAAAUCUGCUCCAGAGCGAAGGCGGCGUCGCAGUAGCUGGGCCGGUGCAGAUAGUCCCAGUCCGGCACGGCAUUGCGGCGCAGUCCCCCGGUCCGCCUGCGCCUCCCGCCACCGGCCGGCCGGCCCGGGGCCCCGCUGCAGCUGCCGCCGCCCCCGCCGGUCUGGAGCUCGGCGGCGUUCGCAGCCGCGGCCA